GCCCAGCUUGCUGGGUGGAAGAGUGGCGAACGGGUGAGUAACACGUGAGUAACCUGCCCUGAACUCUGGGAUAAGCACUGGAAACGGUGUCUAAUACUGGAUACGACCUAUCACCGCAUGGUGUGUGGGUGGAAAGAUUUAUCGGUUUUGGAUGGACUCGCGGCCUAUCAGCUAGAUGGUGAGGUAAUGGCUCACCAUGGCGACGACGGGUAGCCGGCCUGAGAGGGUGACCGGCCACACUGGGACUGAGACACGGCCCAGACUCCUACGGGAGGCAGCAGUGGGGAAUAUUGCACAAUGGGCGCAAGCCUGAUGCAGCAACGCCGCGUGAGGGAUGACGGCCUUCGGGUUGUAAACCUCUUUUAGUAGGGAAGAAGGCCA
rnacentral:rRNA from 1 species